AUGAAAUUAGGAACGAAUGGAAUGGAUUUUGGAAUGGAAUGGAAUGAAAUAUAGGAUUCUUUCUCAUAUUCUUGGUGGGUAUAGUUUAUCUUCUCGGCGAAGGUAAACUGCAUGUUCGUGAUCGUUGGAUUGUUUAAUUCUCAUGUUAAAUUGAUCAAUCGCAAUCAUGAGCGGCAACAUUCCUGGCGCUCUUGAACGCCCAUUGAGGCCAAGUGUUGAGAAAAUUGAGACAGAUGUAGCGGAGGAUGAGAGGAAAAAGAGGGGUGGGG